rnacentral:lncRNA from 1 species
AUCCAGUUCUUCCCCAAACUCCCUUCCCAUCCACAGGCUGCCACAUAACACUAAGGAGAGUUCCCUGUGCUGUCUUUUGAAGAGCAUGGAGUUCAUUUUUGGCAAAAUUAUAUGGCAAGAAAUCUGGUGAUAAGAGGUUUCAAAAAGAAAUUUCAAUAUCUAGGAGAAUCCUGACUAUAGUUAGCUCCUGCUCAACUGUCUUUAAAAAGCUCCAGCUUCUUCAUCCCAAAUGGCCAACUUGCCCACACAGCUCUGCUAUUCAGAAUCUAUGUGGUCUUUUAAAUUAGUUCCAGAGCACAACAGUGUUUUGAAUGCGUGGAUUCUUAAUGCAUCUGAUGACAAGGAUGUAACUCUAAGCGCUUACGUGUACUGAUGAUGAAAAGAACACAAAGCAUGUCAUAUGCAGUUCCAGCAGGAUAAACUUGAACACAGAAUAGGAGAUUUGCUGAUGGUCAAACAGGGGAUCUGUUGGGAAAUAGGAUUCUGAGCUCUGAACUUUGACUUGAGUACUUGCGCAACCUAAUGACUGAAAAUACAAGAGUGACCUGAAUUGAAAAGAGGUAUGCAGAAGGUCACUUGCUGGAAUUUCAUCUUCAUUAUAGUGCCUAAGGUGUGAGAAUGCAGUCGUCCUAUGGGUAUUAAUAGAAUCGUGUGGUUUCUCCCACCCCAGUACACAGACAAGCUGCCUUCAUUUUAGUCUGUUUGGACAAAUCUGAAUCUGAGUACAGUGGAGAAAGGGUCCAUGCUCAGGUAUUGUUAAAG